GACGAACGCUGGCGGCGUGCUUAACACAUGCAAGUCGAACGGUGAAGCGCCUUUCUUUUUGGUGGGUGUGGACGAGUGGCGAACUGGUGCGUAACACGUGAGUAACCUGCCCCCUUCUUCUGGAUAACCGCAUGAAAGUGUGGCUAAUACGGGAUAUUCUGGGUCUGUGGGUUGAUGGGUUUGGUCAGUGUAUGGUUUGGUGGGGGGCUGGGCUCGCGGCCUUUAGGUGUGUUGGUGGGGUGGCGGCCUACCAGGGCGGGGCCGGGUGGCCGGCCUGAGAGGGUGGACGGCCAGACUGGGGGUGAGACACGGCGGAGACUCCUACGGGAGGCAGCAGUGAGGAGUAGUGCACAAGGGGAGCAAGGCUGAAGCAGCGACGCCGCGGGGGGGAUGGAGGGCGUCGGGUAGUAAACCUCUUUCGCCAGAGAAGCAGGCCGGCCUCGUCUGUGGGUGGGUUGACGGUAGCUGGAGAAGAAGCGCCGGCUAACUACGUG
rnacentral:rRNA from 1 species